GCUAUUGUAGCUUAAAGUAAAGCAUAACUCUGAAGAUGUUAAAAUGGGUUAUCAAAAACCCCAAAAGCA